AUACGGAGGGUCCAAGCGUUAUCCGGAUUCAUUGGGUUUAAAGGGUCCGCAGGCGGGAAAAUAAGUCAGUGGUGAAAGCCUACAGCUCAACUGUAGAACUGCCAUUGAUACUGUUUUUCUUGAGGAUAGAUGAAGUGGGCGGAAUAUAUCAUGUAGCGGUGAAAUGCAUAGGUAUGAUAUAGAACACCGAUUGCGAAGGCAGCUCACUAAACUAUUACUGACGCUCAGGGACGAAAGCGUGGGGAGCGAACAGGAUUAGAUACCCUAGUAGUCC
rnacentral:rRNA from 1 species